rnacentral:rRNA from 1 species
GACGAACGCUGGCGGCGUGCCUAAUACAUGCAAGUAGGACGCAGUUGCGAACGGGUGAGUAACGCGUAGGUAACUACCUAUUAGAGGGGGAUAACUAUUGGAAACGAUAGCUAAUACCGCAUACUAGUAGAUGGACCUGCGUUGUAUUAGCUAGUAGGUAGGGUAAUGGCCUACCUAGGCAACGAUACAUAGCCGACCCUGGAGGGUGAGCGGCCAAACCGGGACUGAGCAACGGCCCAGACUUCUACGGGAGGCAGCAGUAGGGAAUCUUCGGGAAGGUGGGGAACCCUGACCGAGCAACGCCGCGUGAGUGAAGAAGGUGUUCGGAUCGGAAAGCUCUGUUGUUAAGGAAGCGGUACUUAACCAGAAAGGUACGGCUAACUACGUGCCAGCAGCCGCGGUAAUUC